GGAACUUGCACGUGCAAUAUUAUUACCUGGCAUAUCCUCUCUCUAUUUUGGAGCAAUAUUCAAAUGCUCUUUCAAAUGCUACUGAUAUAAUAGUAUUCUUUUUUUCUGGGAAAAGAUAUCCUGCUGCGAAAUGUGUUUUCCUAAGAUCUGUAAAUAUUAAAUUAGCGUCGUCUCAAUGGGUCAAUUCUUCCUCAUGAGGCCAAAGAAUGGCUAGAACUGAAGGUAUCAGGACAGAGUUUGGAUUACCAUUUGAAAGAGGACGUUAUGCCAAGGCAACCAGACUUUGAUAUCUUACUUAGGUGGCAGUUGAAUCGCCUAAAUCCAAUAUUGCAGAUGGAGUUGCAGGGCAUUUGGCUAGUUAUGCUACUAUAUAUACAUGGUGUUGUAAAGCAUAUAACAAUCAUGGAAAAAAGCGUUACUUAUGAAAGACAAGUACUACAAAACGUCAAUGAUUAUUUGAGGCAAACUCGGGAAAAUUCUUUCAAUGUACCGUGAAAAAUGUUGCUUAAACCUGGAUAAGAAGUUGCAAUAUCUAGGUUUAUAUUUCAGUGCCAUCAACUAAUGAAGAAGGGUUGGGAA